rnacentral:rRNA from 1 species
ACGGCUCAGUAACACGUGGAUAACCUGCCCUAAGGAAGGGGAUAACCUCGGGAAACUGAGGAUAAUACCCUAUAGGUUACAGACGCUGGAAUGCCCUGUAACCGAAAGUUCCGGCGCCUUAGGAUGGAUCUGCGGCCGAUUAGGUUGUUGUUGGGGUAACGGCCCAACAAGCCGAUAAUCGGUACGGGUUGUGGGAGCAAGAGCCCGGAGUUGGAUUCUGAGACAUGAAUCCAGGCCCUACGGGGCGCAGCAGGCGCGAAAACUUUACAAUGCGGGAAACCGUGAUAAGGGAACCCCGAGUGCCUGUAUAUGCAGGCUGUCCAGGUGUCUAAAAAACACCUGAAGAAAGGGCCGGGCAAGACCGGUGCCAGCCGCCGCGGUAAUACCGGCGGCUCGAGUGGUGGCCACUUUUAUUGGGCUUAAAGCGUUCGUAGCUGGGUUGUUAAGUCUCUUGGGAAAUCUGACGGCUCAACCGUCAGGCGUCCAAGGGAUACUGGCAAUCUUGGAACCGGGAGAGGUGAGGGGUACUUCGGGGGUAGGAGUGAAAUCCUGUAAUCCUCGAGGGACCACCUGUGGCGAAGGCGCCUCACCAGAACGGCUUCGACAGUGAGGGACGAAAGCUGGGGGAGCAAACCGGAUUAGAUACCCGGGUAGUCCCAGCCGUAAACGAUGCGCGUUAGGUGUAUCGGUGACCACGAGUCACCGAGGUGCCGAAGGGAAACUGUGAAACGUGCCGCCUGGGAAGUACGGUCGCAAGGCUGAAACUUAAAGGAAUUGGCGGGGGAGCAC